UACGUAGGGUGCGAGCGUUAAUCGGAAUUACUGGGCGUAAAGCGUGCGCAGGCGGUUCGCCAAGUCAGGUGUGAAAUCCCCGGGCUUAACCUGGGAAUUGCGCUUGAAACUAGCGGGCUUGAGUGUGGCAGAGGGGGGUGGAAUUCCACGUGUAGCAGUGAAAUGCGUAGAGAUGUGGAGGAACACCGGUGGCGAAGGCGGCCCACUGGAUCGGUACUGACGCUGAGGUGCGAAAGCGUGGGGAGCAAACAGG
rnacentral:rRNA from 1 species